AUGAAUAUAACUCCCUGCUCAAAAAUUAGAAUUUAGAAUUUACAACUUUUCUUUGUGCAAGCAAAGCAAAAAAGUGAAGCAGACAUGUCUACAAAGCAUUUAUCAAAAUUGCUUCUGAUUUCUGUUGCCAAUGAGUUAUACAUAAUACAUUGGUUUGAACAAGGUUCAGAGUUGAGACUAAUAUAUUGGGCUAUUUCUUCCCUUGAUAAUAUAUACAUAACAAUUACAAUGGCUAAAAUGCAGUUUUGGAUAAUAAUACAUGCAUGGCAUUGGGAUUUCUCUGUGUGUUCCACCAACUGUACUGACUAUCUCAUUCUAAUACUAUUCAAAUGUUGCUGCUCCCUUUUGCAUCAUCCUUGAGGACCUACAGCAACCCAAAUCCAGCACUUACUGUUGCUAUUCAAAUGUUGCUGCUCCCUUUUGCAUUAUCCUUGAGGGCCUACAGCAACCCAAAUCCAGCACUUACUGUUGCUUUCACAGCCUUCAUUGUACACCUCAACAAUAAUUUUCACAUAGACCGCGUGCUAGCUGCUGCCGUCCUAGAAAGUAAUGUAGCCCAAAAUCUCAUAAAUACACAACAACAAUCAAAGUAAAUUAUUGUUUAACAGUUAAAAAA
rnacentral:lncRNA from 1 species